AGGUUAAGAACUGAAGGUUCGGAGCCGAAGCGAAAGCGAGUCUGAACAGGGCGAUAGUUGCAUGACGUAGACCCGAAACCGGGUGACCUAUCCAUGAGCAGGUUGAAGUGGAGGUAAAGCUCCAUGGAGGACCGAACCAGACGUCUGUUGAAAAAGGCGGGGAUGACUUGUGGAUAGGGGAGAAAUUCCAAUCGAACCCGGAGAUAGCUGGUUCUCCUCGAAAUAGCUUUAGGGCUAGCCUCAUGGAUCAUUGGUGGGGGUAGAGCACUGAAUGUGCGCGGGGGCCACAAAGCCUACCAAACGCUAUCAAACUUCGAAUACCAUACAAUGUAGACCAUGGGAGUCAGUCCGCGAGAGAUAAGUUCCGCGGGCAAAAGGGGAACACCCCAGAUCAACCGCUAAGGUCCCCAAGUUCACGUUAAGUGGAGAAGGAUGUGGAAUUGCACAGACAACCAGGAUGUUGGCUCAGAAGCAGCCACACAUUUAAAGAGUGCGUAAUAGCUCACUGGUCGAGUGAUUGUGCGCCGAAGAUGUCCGGGGCUAAACGUGACACCGAAGCGAUGGGUGCAUCUGAAGAAGAUGCGCGGUAGAGGAGCAAUGUGCAGAGGCAGAAGCCGUAUCGAGAGGCACGGUGGACACUGCACAAGAGAGAAUGCCGGUAUGAGUAGCGAGAGGCAUGCGAGAAACAUGCCCGUCGAAAGCCCAAGGUUUCCUGGGGAAGGUUCAUCCGCCCAGGGUAAGUCGGGGCCUAAGCCGAGGACGGAAGUCGUAGGCGAUGGACAGCAGGUGUAGAUUCCUGCACUACCGAUGGAAUGAAGCAGUGACACAGAAGGAUAACUCGAGCAGGGUGAUGGUCAACCCUGUGCAAGCAUUGAGGUUGGGUUGUAGUGAAGUACGCAAUCCUAUAAGCUGAGAUGUGAUGCGGACCGAAAUUUCAGUAGGGAAGCGAGUGAGUUCACGCUGGCGAGAAAAGCUGCUAGUACAUCCAAAGGUACCCGUACCGGAAACCGACGCAGGUGGGCGAGGAGAGAAUCCUGAGACGAACGGGAGAACCCUUGUUAAGGAACUCGGCAAAAUGACCCCGUAACUUCGGGAUAAGGGGUGCCUGCGAGAGCAGGCCGCAGAGAAUAGUCACAAGCGACUGUUUAGCAAAAACACAGGUAUCUGCGAAAGCGAGAGCUGACGUAUAGGUGCUGACACCUGCCCGGUGCUGGAAGGUUAAGGGAACAUGUUAGAGCAAUCGAAGCAUCGAACCGAAGCCCCAGUAAACGGCGGCCGUAACUAUAACGGUCCUAAGGUAGCGAAAUUCCUUGUCGGGUAAGUUCCGACCCGCACGAAUGGUGUAACGACUUGUGAGCUGUCUCAACAGGGGGCCCGGUGAAAUUGAAGUAUGGGUGAAGAUGCCCAUUACCCGCGACUGGACGGAAAGACCCCGUAGAGCUUUACUGCAGCCUGAUAUUGAGUUUCGGUAACUGAUGCACAGGAUAGGUGGGAGUCUGAGAGACAUGGGUUUCGGCUCAUGAGGAGACGAUGUUGGGAUACCACUCUUCGGUUACUGAAAUUCUAACAUAGCUCUGUGAAACCAGAGGAUGGACAGUGUCAGGUGGACAGUUUGACUGGGGCGGUCGCCUCCGAAAGAGUAACGGAGGCGCCCAAAGGUACCCUCAGAAUGGAUGGAAACCAUUCGAAGAGCGCAAAGGCAGAAGGGUGCCUGACUGCGAGAUUGACAAAUCGAGCAGAGACGAAAGUCGGGCUUAGUGAUCCGGCGGUAUUGAGUGGAAAAGCCGUCGCUUAACGGAUAAAAGCUACCUCGGGGAUAACAGGCUGAUCUCCCCCAAGAGUCCACAUCGACGGGGAGGUUUGGCACCUCGAUGUCGGCUCAUCGCAUCCUGGGGCUGUAUUCGGUCCCAAGGGUUUGGCUGUUCGCCAAUUAAAGCGGCACGCGAGCUGGGUUCAGAACGUCGUGAGACAGUUCGGUCCCUAUCCAUCGUGGGCGUAGGAGUCAUGAGAGGAGCUGUUCCUAGUACGAGAGGACCGGAAUGGACGCACCACUGGUGCAACUGUUGUCGUGCCAACGGCAUAGCAGGGAAGCGAAGUGCGGAUGGGAUAAACGCUGAAGGCAUCUAAGCGUGAAGCCCACCUCAAGAAUAAGACUCCACAAUAGACCCCUGGAGGACUACCAGGUAGAUAGGUCAUCGGUGGAAGCGCUGUAAGGCGUGU
rnacentral:rRNA from 1 species